rnacentral:rRNA from 1 species
AACGAACGCUGGCGGCAUGCCUAACACAUGCAAGUCGAACGAGACCUUCGGGUCUAGUGGCGCACGGGUGCGUAACGCGUGGGAACCUGCCCUUAGGUUCGGAAUAACUCCCCGAAAGGGGUGCUAAUACCGGUUAAUGUCUUCGGACCUAAGAUUUAUCGCCUUUGGAUGGGCCCGCGUUGGAUUAGCUAGUUGGUAGGGUACAAGCCUGGCAAUGCGACGAUGCAUAGCUGGUCUGGGACGAUGCUCAGCCAUACUGGGACUGAGGCACGGCCCAGACUGCGACGGGAGGCAGCAGUAGAGAAUAUUAGACACUGGGCGAAAGCCUGAUCAAGCAAUGCCGGGUGAGUGAUGAAGGCCGUAGGGUUGUAAAGCUCUUUUAGCCGGGGUGAGAAUGACAGUACCGGGAGAAUAAGCUCCGGCUAACUCCGUG